UACGAAGGGGGCGAGCGUUAUUCGGAAUCACUGGGCGUAAAGCGUGCGUAGGCGGAUUAGCAAGUUGGAAGUGAAAGCCCAGGGCUCAACCCUGGAAUUGCUUUCAAAACUGCUAGUCUUGAAUCUCGGAGAGGAUAGCGGAAUUCCCAGUGUAGCAGUGAAAUGCGUAGAUAUUGGGAGGAACACCGGUGGCGUAAGCGGCUAUCUGGACGAGUAUUGACGCUGAGGCACGAAAGCGUGGGGAUCAAACAGG
rnacentral:rRNA from 1 species